rnacentral:rRNA from 1 species
CUUGACACUGAACAUUGAGCCUUGAUGUGUAGGAUAGGUGGGAGGCUUUGAAGCGUGGACGCCAGUCUGCGUGGAGCCAACCUUGAAAUACCACCCUUUAAUGUUUGAUGUUCUAACGUUGGCCCCUUACCGGGGUUGCGGACAGUGUCUGGUGGGUAGUUUGACUGGGGCGGUCUCCUCCCAAAGCGUAACGGAGGAGCACGAAGGUUAGCUAAUCCUGGUCGGACAUCAGGAGGUUAGUGCAAUGGCAUAAGC